GCAGAACGCGAAGAACCUUACCUACUCUUGACAUCCAGAGAACUUAGCAGAGAUGCUUUGGUGCCUUCGGGAACUCUGAGACAGGUGCUGCAUGGCUGUCGUCAGCUCGUGUUGUGAAAUGUUGGGUUAAGUCCCGCAACGAGCGCAACCCUUAUCCUUUGUUGCCAGCGGUUAGGCCGGGAACUCAAAGGAGACUGCCAGUGAUAAACUGGAGGAAGGUGGGGAUGACGUCAAGUCAUCAUGGCCCUUACGAGUAGGGCUACACACGUGCUACAAUGGCGCAUACAAAGAGAAGCGACCUCNCGAGAGCAAGCGGACCUCAUAAAGUGCGUCGUAGUCCGGAUUGGAGUCUGCAACUCGACUCCAUGAAGUCGGAAUCGCUAGUAAUCGUAGAUCAGAAUGCUACGGUGAAUACGUUCCCGGGUCUUGUACACACCG
rnacentral:rRNA from 1 species